GAGGAGGCGGAGCUCCACGACCUGGAGGGGGAGGAGGAGGUGGAGCUCCACGACCUGGAGGGGGAGGAGGAGGAGGUGGAGCUCCACGACCUGGAGGAGGUGGAGCUCCACGACCUGGAGGGGGAGGAGGAGGAGGCGGAGGAAGAGGAGCAUUGGGAGUGGUAGCAGGACGAGGAGGAGGUGGAGGGGGAGGAGGUGCUGAUCCACGCGGAAUAGAACCUUGAGAAAGAGAAGGCAUAGAUCCAGUGGGAGGUGGGGGAGGUGGAGGAGGAGGAGGAGCACCCAAACCACCGACCUUUGGCAUGGGAGGAGGAGGAGAAGGAGGAGGAGGAGGAGGAGGGGGAGGGGGAGGGGGAGGGGGUGGGAGGCCUUGCAAGGAACCUUGAGCGGUGCUCCCCAUAUGCAAAGGAGGUGGUGGUGGUGGUGG
rnacentral:lncRNA from 1 species